GUCGAGAAUCUUUCACAAUGGGGGCAACCCUGAUGGAGCGACGCCGCGUGGAGGAUAAGGUCUUCGGAUUGUAAACUCCUGUCAUGCGUGAACAAGGUUGCUUGGUUAAUACCUGGGCAAAUUGAUGGUAACGCAAGAGGAAGAGACGGCUAACUCUGUGCCAGCAGCCGCGGUAAUACAGAGGUCUCAAGCGUUGUUCGGAAUCACUGGGCGUAAAGGGUGCGUAGGUGGCGUGGUAAGUCAGAUGUGAAAGCCCGGGGCUCAACCUCGGAACUGCAUCCGAUACUGCCAUGCUAGAGUACUGGAGAGGUGACUAGAAUUCUCGGUGUAGCAGUGAAAUGCGUAGAUAUCGAGAGGAAUACCAAAGGCGUAGGCAGGUCACUGGACAGUUACUGACACUGUGGCACGAAGGCCAGGGGAGCGAACGGGAUUAGAAACCCCGGUAGUCC
rnacentral:rRNA from 1 species